rnacentral:rRNA from 1 species
AACGAACGCUGGCGGCAUGCCUAACACAUGCAAGUCGAACGAGACCUUCGGGUCUAGUGGCGCACGGGUGCGUAACGCGUGGGAACCUGCCCUUAGGUUCGGAAUAACUCCCCGAAAGGGGUGCUAAUACCGGAUAAUGUCUUCGGACCAAAGAUUUAUCGCAUUUGGAUGGGCCCGCGUUGGAUUAGCUAGUUGGGAGGGUAAAAGCCUACCAAGGCGACGAUCCAUAGCUGGUCUGAGAGGAUGAUCAGCCACACUGGGACUGAGACACGGCCCAGACUCCUACGGGAGGCAGCAGUGGGGAAUAUUGGACAAUGGGCGAAAGCCUGAUCCAGCAAUGCCGCGUGAGUGAUGAAGGCCUUAGGGUUGUAAAGCUCUUUUAACCGGGAUGAUAAUGACAGUACCGGGAGAAUAAGCUCCGGCUAACUCCGUG